GAUUUUAUCAAACCUAUUUGUAUGGAACGGAUGCCUAGGCAUCAGUCUGUAAGGGACGUUAUUAUACGAAAGGCCGUAUCCUAUAAACUUAUGUAAAAUACGGAUAUCCCAACGGGAAACCCAAGAGAACAUAUUGCAGGCGGAAUUAUCCUAAAGCAAACCAUUGUAAAUCAAACGAGAAUCUGAGAGUAGUAAAGAACGAAAUCGGAAAAAAAGGCCCUCGCAGCAAAAAAGUUAUUGAACUUUGUAAUAGAUUUUCUUUGAAUAGUUAUGAAUACUUGCCAUAGAGGGUGUAAGCCCCGUAAAAGAAAACACUAUAAUGAUCCGGUGGGUCUGUGCUCUUCUAAAAAAAAAGGGCGCUAUAAUGUUAUAGGGGGUACCACCCUCCUAAAAAAAAGAACAGACUGUGACCGAUAGUGAACAAGUACCGUGAGGGAAAGGUGAAAAGAAGUGGAAAAACCACUAGUGAAAUAGACCCUAAAAUAACAUACAAAGUAGCAGUUGAAAGUAAAUAUUUAAUAAAAUCUUAUUUCGGCGUACCUUUUGCAUGAUGGGUCAGCGAGUCAAUGAUUAAUGCAAAUAAGCUUAAGCCACUAGGUGUAGGCGUAGUAAUAACUGUUUAUCUUAGUAAUAAUCAUUGUACCCGAAGCCGAGCGAGCUAAUCAUGAGCAGGUCGACACCUGUCAGAGGAUUACGGGGUAGAGGACUGAACCCGUUUCUGUAGCAAUAGAAUGGGAUGACUUGUGAUUAGGGGUGAAAGGCCUAUCAAGCUCGGGCAUAGCUGGUUUUUUGCGAAAUAUAUUUAGGUAAAGCGGUAGUUAUUGUAAUAGGGUGGCGCGCUAAGCAUUUCAACUUAGCAACACUGCUGUGUCUGUAGAGUCAAAUCGGAGGAGAGGGGGGUGCUGAGCUUUUCAAACCUCUGAUAACUCCCAAGGACUUUUUUAUACUAUACUACCAGUCAGACUUUGUGCGCAAAGGUUCAAAGUCAAAAGGGAAAAAGCCCAGAUCUGUCGAUAAGGUCCCAAAAUAGAAGUGUGCUCAGUGGAAUAAGCUAUGCUCCCGCGAAGACAGCCAGUAGAUAGACUUGGAAGCAGCCAUGCUACAGCGAAAGCGUAACAGCUCACUGGUUUAGCUGGGGUGAGCCAAAAAUAUACGGGGCUCAAGACAUUUGACCGAAGCGCAGAUAGUAUCUAUAAACAAAGAGAAGUCCGCUACUAUUCGCUCAAGCGGAUAGAGUUAGUAGCAGCUAUUUGCUGCUUUAAUAUAGCAGACUAAUUUAUAGAUUCUAGGUAGCAAAACGUUCUGUUUAUUUAUUACGAUUUGUUGAAAAACAUAUUUAAAAUAUCAGAAGUGAAUAUGCUGACAUAAGUAACGACAAAUUUAAUUAUGAGUAUUUUAAAAAUAAACAAAGAGAUUCGCUUUGACUUAAAGCCUUUUUUACAAAGUUUGAAAAGGUUUUCUAGCGACAUCUUACUUUAUAUCACUCAUACUAUAAAAAAAAAUGGCCGAAAGUUCGAGGUUUUCUGCGCACUGUAAUACAUCGCAGUAGUGAAACGGCCCCUAACCGCAUAGCCAAACGGCUUUCUUUGGGAUGGGCUCUAUAGUGGCAAACCCACAAAACACUAGGAAUUGUCAAAAACAAAAACGAUUUUUUAUAGCUUUUGCUAUAAAGAAUCCAGGAAAACUUUGUUUUUUAUGCACUGCCACAGCUUAUUAAAAAGUGCAGAGGGCGGUCAAUUCAGUACCGUACUUAAACCGACACUGGUGAACUGAUAGAACAUAUUAAGGCUUAGAGAUAACUAUGUAGAAGGAACUCGGCAAAUUACUUGCGUGACUUCGGAGGAAGCAAGGCUUAAUUUAUAUUUAUCUAAAGAAUAGAUAGAGCCGGCGACUGCGGCUAUGCCGCAGUCACCGGAUAGAAUUUAUAAUUAAGUGUCACUAAAGAGGGGACGGCGACUGUUUAACAAAAACACAAGACUCUGCUAAGUAUUAAACUAUGUAUAGAGUCUGACUUCUGCCCAGCGCUGGAGAAUAAAAAUAGCUGGUGAAAGCUGGAUAUAUAAAAGGCCGGCAAACGGCGGCAGUAACCCUAACUGUCCUAAGGUAGCGAAAUUCCUUGGCGCAUAAUUGGCGUCCCGCAUGAAUGGCGUCACGACUGUCCCGCUGUCUCCUACAUAGACUCUGUGAAAUUGAAAUUUCCGUGAAGAUGCGGAAUAACUGGCAGGGGACGAAGAGACCCUGUGCACCUUGACUAUAUAUUGUUACUGCAUAAAGCAUCCAAAAGUGCAGAAUAGAUGGGAAGCGUGGGCUUCGCUCCAGGACGCAAAAUUGACAUACCAUCCUUUUAGAUGACUGCGUGCUUUUUAUCGGGAGAUCUGAUAAUAUACUAACAAUUAGAUAGUUUGUCUGGGGCGGAAGCCUCCUAAAAAGUACCGGGGGCGUGCAAAGGUUGUUUUUAUAGGGUAUUUUCCUAUAAUAGUGUAACUGCACAAAUCAGCCUGACUGUAAGAUUGACAAAUCAAGCAGAAACGUAAGUUGGCAGUAGUGACCCAGCUAUGUUUGGUGGAACCAUAGCUGAUCAACGGAUUAAAGGUACGCCAGGGAUAACAGGCUGAUCCUCCCCAAGAGUCCAUAUCGACGGGAGGGUUUGGCACCUCGAUGUCGGCUCAUCGUGUCCUGGGGCUGUAGGAGGUCCCAAGGGUUGGACUGUUCGUCCAUUAAAACGGUACGUGAGCUGGGUUCAGAACGUCGCAAGACAGUUUGGUUUCUAUCUCUGUCAGAAAGACUGAGGAUAUUAGGAUUUCGUACGUAAGGAACAGAUCCUACAAACCUCUGGUGUACGUGUUGUCAAACGGCAUGGCACGAAAGCUAAGUUUGAUUAUUUAACUGCUGAAUGCAUCUAAAGCAGGAAACAGAAUCCAAAAAAGGUCUCACAUACGUGCAACAAUAGCACGUUGAUAGGUGACAGGUGCAAUCUUCGUGAGAAGCAAAGCCAUGUCAUACUAAAAGUAUAGCCAUU
rnacentral:rRNA from 1 species